CCCUAUGAGGCCUAAAUAUUACAUUUUAUAUUUUGUGCACGUUAGGCAUAAUUCAUCUUUAUGGGUAAUCAGUUAUCAACUUUGAUGUUGAAUGUGAAAACUACCUUCAUGAUUGUAUGCUGCUUCUCCCAAAGACUUGUGUCACAUACCCUCCCUCUGUGUGUGUGUGUUUGUGUGUGCGCGCGCGUGUUUUGGGGAGGGGCUUAUAGUCAUCUACAUCAACUACCUUUCAUGUUCAAAUCAUGGAAUUCUGAUGAAAUUUCUUUGAAUUUCCCAAAUUUGAGGAUUUUUUUUUUAACAUUAAUUUCCAAAAUGACAUCAGAAAAUUGAUAUGAAAUGGAAAUUGGGAUCAUUAGGUCCACCAGAGUUCUCCAACAUUCCAGAGUUGCGUAUACUAUAAGUCCCUUCCCUAAGUAUCAUUAGGUCCUUCUCUAUUCAAUAUUCCAGCUUUGAUGACACCAAUAGAACAAAAUAUUAUCAGCCAUAAUAUUACAAUUAAUUUCUGUUAAUGUUUCUGUUUUCCUUUUCCAUCCAAAAUAGAAGGUGGGAAACCACAACCAUUACUUUUCUUUUCUCCUCCCAUAAUCCAAAUGGAGUGGAUCAAAAUUGAAAAGCCUAGCCCAGUGUUUUUUUUUUUGGGUGCUUCAUCUUAUUUUAAGUGAAUUAUCAAAGUCACACGCAAAAUUUCUAGAUUCAUAUCAAUAGUCAACUUGGGCAAAUUGUGAUGUAAGAAUUUUAAUGAUAGGAUAUUCAUGAUUACCAACAUGUCUUGUGCAGCAACCUGUCAAAUAACCAACUUAAUGGAUCCAUUCCAGAAAGUUUGUCAAAUCUCCCUUCUCUGCAGAAACUGUCACUUGAGAAUAAUUUUUUGACUGGUCCUGUCCCUGCUAGUAUUUGGCAGAACGUGUCCUUCAGUGCUAAGGCUAGACUUUUACUUGAUCUUCGGAAUAAUUCACUUUCAAACAUUUUAGGAGUUCUGAAUCCUCCAGAAAAUGUUACCCCUUAGGUAUGUUUUUUUUAUGGGUUAGGUUUGCACUUUUGCAAAAUUUCUGUGAGUUUGUUAAUUUUUUAAGUUAUGCUUAUCACUAAUUGUUUGGGAAUGUAAGCUAAUGAGGUGGAAAUUAAAAAUAAAAGGUAUGUCGAAGCAACCCGGUUAUCAAUGGAUCAUUAUCUUUCAAGGAAAAUUAGACUUAAGACCGGACUAAUGAUUUAUUGACAUAGGGAACAAAAAGAGAAUUGGGAGGAGAGAAAUGGGAACCAAUCCCAAAUCCAUAUCCCAAGCUAAUGCAGUGUCUCAUUACUAUUAAGCAAAGAGGGUCAUUGGCCCAAACUAAAGUGUAAAAUGAAGUAACUGGAUCAUUAAAGUUUGUCCUCGCCCAUAGGACCCAAACUAAACUCUAUCUUCUCUCCCGAUUGGAGAGACGUUGGACCUCUUUUACUUUAAUUGGUGGGAAUACCAAAAAAAGCUUUCCUGUCAUUGGCCCUUAGCUAAAAAAUAUGAUCUUGCAGAGGGUCUAAUUCUCAAUUUCUUGGUCUUGGUACUAAACAAGGCUUGUGCCACAGUAUCAAUUGAAUGGCCUAAAGAUGGGAUCAUCAUGGAUUCACUAUUGAAUCCAAUUGAGAUUUCCAACAGCUGAGAGAGUUUUGAGAUAUUAGAAACACUUAUUUAGUGUAAAUCACAAGUGAUUUGUCUGAUGACUACUAUGGAUUAGUUUAAAUUUCCAUCAUUUUGAAAGAACUUUGCAUGUUGCAGGUCAAAUGUGAAGGUGCCCCGUUCCAUGUUAUGAAAGUGACACUGUUCUGUUAUGUUGGCUUACCUGCUAGCUGUUGUGUAACCUUUUCCCUGUUGUACAACUUAAUUAUUAUUAUUUUUCUUUAAUAAAAGUAAUGUCUCAAAUGUUAUUAAUAAAUAUAUAUAUGCUGCUCUUUGUUCACAUACUCAUCUACCUAGUUUGUUGUCUUUUUCUUUCUACGUCUUCUUGUUUCAGCCUCUGUAUUCUGUGUAGUACUAUUUUCACUGCAGUACCUAGUUUCCAUAUGUCCGAGUAGAUGAGAUUUCUCCUUAAUGCACUUCUCUAGAAUGAUUUACAGGGACUGCAAGUUCAUUAUAGAAAGAGAAAAUAUAAUCUAAACAUAUGAUUUACAUGACCUAGAUUACAGUUGCCAUAAAUUAGUGUUUUUCUGCCCAUUCUACUCCAUAGUCUCUCAGGUACAUAUAAAUUUCUUACACCUGAUAUUUCCCUAUGCCAAGGUGUUAUUCCGGCAUAAAAUUGUAUUGCUAACAGUAUGCUUGAGGGCAGAAUAAUUAAAUAUAUAGUAUAUGAUGCUUUAAAACUGGAUUUCUAAAGUUUGCUCAUCUUUAGAAAUUAUAUUUGUAUUAGGAUUUAACUAAAUCCACAAUUUUAUGGAGGAAAUAUAUUUGCAUUAAUUAGAAAUAAGAUAGUUUCUUCGUUCAAGAUGUUACAUAACAAGUAUAGUUUUAGUGAAACCUUUGCUUCAUGGAGGUAGUAACCUUUGCUUCAUGGAGGUAGAAUUUUGAAACUUGUAAAUAAAAAUUCAUUUUGUAUUUAUUUUCGAUUUCAAAUUACUGCACAGUUUACAAAAUUUUUGUAACCCAAACAAAAAGUGAAAUAAUGCAUAAUGUGGGAAAAUCUCCUAGAAAUCCAAUGUGUGAAGGUUUUGUUCGACAUCACUGCAGUGUAUAAAUCUUUCGAAGUAAUAAUGUAUCUUCAAUGGAUCCUCUUAGGCCUCGUUCCAGGUGUGACAUCUCUCUCUCUCUCUUCUUUGUUUGUUGUGCUUUGGUUGCUUCGAAUUAUGCAUCAAUUUCUGUACUGUGCAUGUUAAUAAUAACAGAACCAUCAUAUUUCCAAUAUAAACUUGCAAGAUUUGCAUGUUUGUUCUUGAAAAUAUGUAAGAAUCACAGAAAGGCAUUUGCCUGGUUGGGAUGAUGGGUUCAACUUCCAUGGUACUGCAGGUGCCAGCAGCAGUGGAUGAAGGGGAUGGGCGAGUGGGAGUAGUUGGCCCCUUCCAAUCGAAGGGUUUUAUGGAAGGACUCGAGCAAUGGGAGCUUAUAGUGAUGCCAGGAUGACAUCUUGUACUUAUUAGUACUUAUUUUUGGAUGGUUGGAACUAAAAUGUGUAGUGGAUGUAGUUGGUUAUUCCUGUAUUAUGUAUGAAAUUAAAUUAUUGACGUUGGAUUAGACUUGGUUCUUAUGGAAUUUGUAAUAUAUAUAUAAUUGGACGUUCAAUAUUAAUAUUUUUGGAUGGUUGGAACUAAAA